CAUUCAAUCAGAUCUAGGAUGUGUUAUUUGAGUGUUCCCUUUAUUUUUUUGAGCAGUGUAUAUAGAUGUGUGUGUCCGUUAUCACCAGCGCCCACGUGGAGUAUAGCUGUCUGCAUUGGCAGUGAGUACAGCUAUAUGGGAAGGGGGGGUAAAAGCCAUUAAUCUGCUUUAUCUGUCUGUUGAUGCGUUUUUCAUCUAGUAAGUUGCUUAUUUAUUUUUGUUGAAGGACCUAGAUUGUUGAUAACAUGUACAAGAGACUGCAGUUGUGCUCCCAGCAACAGUCUGUGAAAAACAAAAUAAAUUUUUAUUUCUUUUCAAUUAAUUUUCAAGUGUGUCGGUCAUCCAGUUACCCUCAGCACUCUGGAUUCCACUUGGAUAAAUACUUUUCUCAGCUUAGAUUUGGUUCCUCAAACGCCGUGUGUUUCCGUGUCUCUGUGUUGCUGUGAUGCAGCUACAACCUCCCAGGUGUCUCAAGCCAGGACACAUGGCUCAUCCUGGUGUGGGACGCCAAGUUGCUGAGCGAGGAGGCAAAGGAAGCAGUGGGGUCCACCUCGGGCUCUCCGAAGAUGACAAGUAGGGCCCCUCGCAUGUGUUCAGUUGCAUGUUCACACAUCCCUCUUUCUCUCUCUCUCUAUCUCUCUCUCUCUCCUUCUCACGCACCCUCAGUCCGUCUGGCCACGAGCAGACGCCCAAAUGGCCGCAGGAUACCAGCCCGGAGGAGGGCACAGGAAUGGGUGCUUGUGGGUGCUUUUUUCGAGCAAUUUCCUGUCACCCUGGACGGACAGGCGCCCUCCAAGAGACAGAGGCAAGAAUAGGGCUUGACGCCGGACAGGAGCAUGUAUGAUAAGUGGAGGUCCCAGCAGUGCAAGCUGAGGCAGAAACACCUACUGUCUAAGUCUUAACUGCCCUCCCUUGCCAUUCCACAAUGUGUCGAUGGAGAGGACGCUGUCAUAAUUCUGUAAAAGAAAACGUUAGUGGUUUCUCUUCUGUCUCAUAGCCAACUGGACCCGGCAAAAGCCAUCGGUGUCGACAGUCCGAAGCUACAUUAAGAACUUGUGCUGAACCUCCAACUGCGUCUCCGCCCAGCACGCUGGACUCUGCCACCUACAGCCACUCUGGAAAAAGACCCCAACCUGAUCCAGCACAUCAGGAUCAGAGGUGGCUGGGACUCACCGUAGCGGAGAGCAAGAGGCCCAGUGCCGGAAGAGGGCUCUUUGCCAUCAAGGCCUUCUCCAGAGGUGAGGUCAUCUGCGACUACCACGGACAGGUGGUCAACGCAGUAGAGGGCAGGCACGUGCUGGAACGCUGAAUCCUGGCAAGAACAGCUACGUGUACUUUUCCAGGGCCGGGGAGCACAACCUCUGAAUGAACUCUCAGACGGCACCAUGCGAAUGCCACCCACAGCACCUUUGGGAGAAUGAUCAACCAUUCCUCUAAAGACUUUAAUUAUAAAGGCAUGGUUUUCACCUUGUCUGGGGAGGCCCUUCCUGUGCUGCUCAUAAAAGCCACACAGGAUAUAGGUCAGGAGCUGCUUAUUGAUUAUGGGGUGACCCGAAAGUCGUUUGGUGGGGAGGCAGCGGACUCUUGUGGCUGGACAAAUGAAGGGAGCUCCCCCGCCCGACAGUCUAACCCUCUGACAUAUAGUUCAGCUUUGUGUUGUUGUUGGUUUUUCACUGACAUUUGUUCUAGUAACUGUUUAGUAUACUUUUAAUUUUUCUAAUAUGUGAUGUGUUUUUAUUUAUUUAUUUGUUUUUUAAUCUUGUUUUGGUAAAUAUAUUGUUAUGUAAAUAUGGUUUCAAAUUUCUGUUUUAAUGUUAGCACUCUUUAAUAGCAGUAGAAGCAGCAGUAGCAAUAGUAGUGGUAGAAGCAGCAGUAUUAUAUUAUAUUAUAGUAGUAAUAGCAGGAGUAGUGCUAGCAGUAGUAGUAUUAGAAGUAGCAGUGGUUGAACAAGUUGCAUUUGUUGUCAUUGUAUUAUGUUUCUCGUUAUUAAAAAUAACAUAUUCAAAAAA